UCUCAUAAAUGAACAAAGAAAGUGGUUUCCUGAGAUGGAAUAUACACUUGGUGAAGAUGCUGUGAA
rnacentral:pre_miRNA from 2 species